GAUGAAGAACGUAGCGAAAUGCGAUAAGUAAUGUGAAUUGCAGAAUUCAGUGAAUCAUCGAAUCUUUGAACGCACAUUGCGCCCGCCAGUAUUCUGGCGGGCAUGCCUGUCUGAGCGUCAUUUCAACCCUCAUGCCCCUAGGGCGUGGUGUUGGGGAUCGGCCAAAGCCCGCGAGGGACGGCCGGCCCCUAAAUCUAGUGGCGGACCCGUCGUGGCCUCCUCUGCGAAGUAGUGAUAUUCCGCAUCGGAGAGCGACGAGCCCCUGCCGUUAAACCCCCAGCUUUCCAAGGUUGACCUCAGAUCAGGUAGGAAUACCCGCUGAACUUAAGCAUAUCAAUAAGCGGAGGA
rnacentral:misc_RNA from 1 species